AAUACAUCGGUCUUAUGAAAUGAAAUGUGUUGGUUAAGGAUUUUUUAAACGAAUUUCACAUUACACAACUGGCUUUACUAAAUCUGAGUCUUGUAUUUCUGAACAGGGCACCAUGGGCCCGGCACUGCCACGUUUUCCAAGGAACCUGCCGGAGCUCCUGCGGAAGCUGCUCCUCAGGCGAUGGAGUCCCUUCGCUGGUAGGCCCUUCUUCAGUCACCACAGGAUGCCUGCCAUUCAUGAACAAGAAGGAGAGGACGGGCUUUGAAUAAAAAACAGGAUCCAGGAAAUAUUUGUGAGGCCAUUUGGACUUCAGUGUGAAAUGGUGUUAAAAGAUGAAGUCAUUUAUUCAAGAAGUAAACCUCUGCCACCUGGACUGUGCGCAGACAUUUCAUUGAUUUUGUUUAAUAAACAUUUUCUGGCUUUGGGAGGUGUCUCUCUUGGUAGAACACAGUGUCAAAGAUGGACAAGAUGGACACAUAGUCCAUUAUUUGGUAUUGUUUGUGUAUGGGAGCAGACCACAAAUUAAUGUUUGGAGAACAAUUUUGUCAUAACACACUGUUGAGGCUCAGUUGUACAGAACUGGAAAAGUCUUCAGCUUGGCACAUGUCCUGAUUCAGCCUUUGUUUAACAUAUAUUCCAAUCCGGAUUCUAUCUUCACUGGCUACAAAGACCACCUGAUACGUGCACCACGACACAGGAGCUGCUGGAGAGGGGGUAGUGUUAUCACCUCAAACCCACAGCCAUAUUUUUCAAAAGCCAGCUUAGAGAGAGGUGUACUGAUAGCUGCAUAGAGAACAUGCAGUCCAUCCAUUCUUCCCAGUGAUGUACAUUUCUCAAUCAGUAACCACGUGGUAUACCAGCCUUGAGUGUCACAUCUCCCAACCAUACCAAAUGGAUCACCUAACUGGAGGUGGGGGGGGCCCUCAGAAAUGAGAUUUCGUAUUUACUGUAAAAUUGCCUUAUUUUUUCUUUUGAGGUGGAGUCUCACUCUGUUGCCUGGGCUGGAGUGCAAUGGUGUGAUCACUGCUCACUGCAACCUCCGCCUCCUGGGUUCAAGCAGUUCUCCUGCCUCAGCCUCCCAAGUAGCUGCAAUUACAGGUGCAUGCCACCACUCCCAGCAAAUUUUUAUAUUUUUAGUGGAGACAGGGUUUCACCAUGUUGACCAGGCUGGUCUCAAACUCCUGACCUCAGGUGAUCUGCCCACCUUGGCCUCCCAAAGUUCUGGGAUUAAAGGUACGAGCCACCGCAACUGGCUGAGAAUCUUUUUAUUUGCUGAUUUGUCUCUUGUGUAUUUUCUUUGUUCAGAUGUCUC
rnacentral:lncRNA from 1 species